AACGCGAAGAACCUUACCUGGAUUUGACAUGUACGUGAAGACAUUAGAGAUAGUGUUGUUUCGCAAGAGACACGUAGACAGGUGCUGCAUGGCUGUCGUCAGCUCGUGCCGUGAGGUGUUGGGUUAAGUCCCGCAACGAGCGCAACCCUUGUCGUUAGUUGCCAGCGAGUAAUGUCGGGCACUCUAACGAGACUGCCUGGGUUAACCAGGAGGAAGGUGAGGAUGACGUCAAGUCCGCAUGGCCUUUAUAUCCAGGGCUACACACGUGCUACAAUGGCAGGUACAGAAGGGGGCAAAACCGAGAGGUGGAGCAAAUCCUGAAAGCCUGCCCCAGUUCGGAUUGAAGUCUGCAACUCGACUUCAUGAAGAUGGAAUUGCUAGUAAUGGCGAGUCAGCAACAUCGCCGUGAAUACGUUCCCGGGCCUUGUACACACCGAGACGUA
rnacentral:rRNA from 1 species